rnacentral:rRNA from 1 species
UACGGAAUGGUGCAAACGUUAUUCGGAAUCACGUGGGCUUAAAGAGUCCGUAGGCGGCAUGUUAGGUGGGGUGUGAAAUACCCCGGCCGUCAACCGAGGAAUUGCGCUUCAAACCGGCGUGCUAGAGGAAGAUGAGAGGUGGGCGGAACUGAUGGUGGAGCGGUGAAAUGCGUUGAUAUCAUCAGGAAGACCGGAGCGAAGGCGGCC